GCAGAUGUUAUUUUUGUGAACUGUCACCAUGUAUUUUGACUUAGAUGAGAAGUAGGCUGAUUCUGUGUGCAUUCGUGGAUACAUACACUGCUAAAAUAUGCAGAGCACCAAAUUGCCACAUAAUACAAUGCAUAACGGAGCACCAGUUAGGAUCUUAGAAUAGCUAGCUGUUUUCUCAGGAAUAUUAGGUUUCUUUUUAUUGCUCAUUAGCAGGCAAAUAAAUUAUCUUUGAGGUCUGCAUUUUUUUUGAUGUGUGGUUAUGCAUCACUGACAGUUCUCCAUGAGGACACACAUGCUGAAAAAAAUCAACUUGAAAGGAGGAAGGGAAGUUGCAAUUACCAAGUCUAGCAGGACAAGCGCUAGUCGAAAUGUAAGAGAUGUCUAGUAGAGGACCCCAAUGAAGUAGCACAUAGGUAUAUUUGCGUUUCUCCUUCCUGGGGAUAGCCUCUCUGCAAUUAUAAGGAAAUAUGACAAGCAGCAGUGCCUGUGCAGACAGCAGCAGAAGAAAGGCACCACUAGGGAUUAGCUAGCCCGAAGCUGCAGCCAGAGCACAGCUGGCUCAGCCUCAAAAUUAAGUGCCUUCAGUCAGGUGGGUAAAGGGAAUCAUCCCCGAAGUGUGGCAGAGCACACUAAAAGGGACUCCAAUGCAUAGACUGGUUGGUUGUUUUUUAAUCUGACACUGCGUAUUACUGGGACAGCCCAGGAUUUCCUGACUGCACUGAAUUCCUCCGUAAAAGGACAGAACAGCCUGCUGUUGGGCAAGUGCAGCUCGAUCCGCUUGCUUUCUCUUAGUGAAGAAGCCAGGAAAUCUGCAAUCCGUUCAACACUAGGAAGUUACUUCAGGUGCAGGAGGAGCUCGGAAGCCCUGAGGAUGCAGAAGUGCCUUGGUGCUGCAGACAACCACCACCCUCCUGCCCUGGGAACCACUGCCCCAUCUGCACGCUGCCUCACUGUUGCUGGCCUUCCAAUGACCUUGUCUCCACCACAGCCCCAAAGCACUACCCAAGUGAAAACAGACCUGCAGGACGCUGCCGCAAUCUACUAUUGUGCUACACACCUACAUGAGACCUCAGGUGUUUGCUAGGGAACCAGAUAAGAGCUACUGAAAAACUAUUGCUAGCAGUAUCCAAAAAAAAAAAACCUAAAAAACAACAAAAAUAACUUUUUAUCUGUAAUUUUAAAAUAUAGGAUUAAAAGGGACUUUCCAAGUCAUCAAGUCCUGCCUCUUAUUGUCAAAGACAAGCAUGCUAUGCAUGUAGAUAUAUCAACUGUUAUCUUAAUUUAAGUUAGGCUUAUCCUUUGUAUUCUUAUGCUUGCAAUAGGAAUCUAUUGGAAAGAUGUUCUAGGGCAUCACUUCUCCCCUGUACCCCUACUCCUGAUCAAUACUUAAAUUUACAGGCAAUUUUUCUUGCUAACAUUUCAUAGUGAAUCUUAUGAUAACUGGAGUUUGCUGAGGUGUGAAACUUUGUUUUCAGGCUCUCCACAAGCACAUUUCAGCUUUCAUUUAAAAAGAAUUGCUUUUAGUCUUUAUGGUUGUGUGAUGUUUGAAAACAUCAAAUCAUCUGCCAGAUCAGAGGUACAUAAAAAAAGAACGCUGAAAAAUUAUUUUAGGAAAAACAUUUUUGAGGAGGGUCUGCAUAAAUGAUAUUUAAUUGAUAAAGAGGAUAAUGCCUUAAGCUGCUCUGUAACUUGUACCUGACUUUUGAAAGGAUAGCAAAUUAAGCAGAAAUGAAAGAAAGCUUAAGAGACUGUUCUAGAAGACAAAGACCAACUAGUUCUCUGGAGAAAAAGGCAAACAACAGUGGUAGUCUUGCACAAAGAGCUAUCAAACCAUCUCCUGCAUUUUGAAGAAUCCAUCUGAAUUCAGACCAACUUUCUACCUGGAUUCUGAAUUUCUAUACUUACUAAAUAAAACCUAAUUCAAGAAACA
rnacentral:lncRNA from 1 species